GCGAGGGCGUAUGGUGGAUGCCUUGGCAGACAGUACCGAUGAAGGACGUUUGAGGAUGCGAUAAUCCUAGGGGAGCCUCCAACAUGGCUUUGAUCCUAGGGUCUCCGAAUGGGGGAACCCGCCGGCCGUCAUGGGCCGGCACCGCCUAUGGGCGGGGGGUACGCAGGGAAGUGAAACAUCUCAGUACCUGCAGGAAGGGAUACUCCGUGAGUAGUGGCGAGCGAAAGCGGAUCAGACCAAACCGGUUGCGCGUGAUACCCGUCGGGGGUUGCGUUGCCGGUGUUGUGGGAUCACGUGUCCCGGUUCCGACGGGCCGGGCGGGAGUCAUAAAACGGCUUGCCAGGGGAACAGGCUUGAAGGCCUGGCCGUAGAGGGUGCCAGCCCCGUACCUGGACGUGAGCCGUCUUCCGAUCGUGUUGUCCCAAGUAGCGCGGGCCUCGUGGAAUCCCGCGUGAAUCAGCCCAGACCGUUGGGUAAGUCUAAGCAUACCUGUCUGACCGAUAGCGUACCAGUACCGUGAGGGAAAGGUGAAAAGCACCCCGGGAGGGGAGUGAAACAGUUCCUGAAACCGUGCGCCCACAAACCGUCGGAGCCUCCCUGGUGGGGUGACGGCGUGCCUAUCGAAAAAUGAGUCUGCGAGUCAGUGGCGGGUGGCGAGCAUAAGCCGUGUGGCGUAUGCGUAGCGAAAGCGAGUCCGAAUAGGGCGUUUUUUAGUCGCUUGUCCUGGACCCGAAGCGGGAUGAUCUAGCCCUGGGCAGGUUGAAGCGCGGGUAAGACCGCGUGGAGGACCGAACCCACCUGGGUUGAAAACCGGGGGGAUGACCUGGGGCUAGGGGUGAAAGGCCAAUCAAAUUCCGUGAUAGCUGGUUCUCUCCGAAAUGCAUUUAGGUGCAGCGUCGGUCGAUUGCGUCGCGGGGGUAGAGCUACCGGAUGCUUGCGGGCCCUUGUUGGGUACCAACAGCAGCCGAACUCCGAAUACCGUUGACGUGUAUUCCGGCAGUGAGUCGGCGGGGGAUAAGCUCCGUCGUCGAGAGGGAGACAGCCCAGACCGUCGUCUAAGGUCCCGAAGCGUGUGCUAAGUGGGAAAGGAUGUGGAGUCGCAUAGACAGCCAGGAGGUUGGCUCAGAAGCAGCCAUCCUUGAAAGAGUGCGUAACAGCUCACUGGUCUAGUGGUUCCGCGCCGACAAUGUAGCGGGGCUCAAGCACACCACCGAAGACGCGGCAGCAAUCUUCAUGGUUGCUGGGUAGGAGAGCGUCCUGCGAGGGGCGAAGCGGCCGGGUAACCGUGCCGUGGACUUCGUGGGAGUGAGAAUGCAGACAUGAGUAGCGAGAGACGGGUGAGGAUCCCGUCCGCUGGAUGACCAAGGGUUCCGGGGCCACGUUCGUCGUCCCCGGGUGAGUCGGGUCCUAAGGCGAGGCCGACAGGCGUAGUCGAAUGGAUGAACGGGUGGAUAUUCCCGUACCGACCAUGGACCGGCAAAACCGAGACGGUGAGUACUAACCUCCGCCUCGUGGUGGUUCCUUCCUUCGGGUUGGUGUCGCCGCGUGGUGUUGGGACUGUAGCCGCAGUAGGUCAGCGCAGGGGUGACACGGAAUGGGAGCCGGCCGCGGAGGUGGUUUUCCGUGGUCAAGCACGCAGCCAGUCAUGUAGGCAAAUCCGCAUGGCGUGCAUGGCGAGGUGUGAUGAUGGGAGCCUUUUGGGCUCGAUAUCCGGUUGUCCAGGCCGUCGAGAAAAGCCUCGGCGUGAGGGCCAUGGCCGCCCGUACCCCAAACCGACACUGGUGGUCAGGUAGAGAAUACCAAGGCGAUCGAGCGAAUCCUGGUCAAGGAACUCGGCAAAUCACUCCCGUGCCUUCGGUAUAAGGGAGACCCACUGGGGUGAAGGACCUUGCGUCCGGAGCUUUGGUGGGUGGCACAGACCAGGGGGUAGCGACUGUUUACCAAAAACACAGGUGCAUGCGA
rnacentral:rRNA from 1 species